CUCGGGAGUGACAUCACUGAGGUGAAAAAGAAGAAAUGCAUAUAUUCUAUAAUACAUUAAAUUGUAUACAUUAUAUAUUUGAAAUUCUAGUUAGAACUGAGAUAUCAUUAAAUAACUCACUAAUAACUUUUCUCUAAAUAUUUAUCAUUUAAUAUGCAUGGCAUUAUUAUAAUCCCAGAAAAUACUCUUUGCUUAAAUGAAAAUGUCGUUCUAAGCAACUAGCCAAUAUACAUUAAUUAACGGCACUUCCUGACACUAACUGGAGCUUUCUACUCACCAACUUUUAUUGCAUUGCCCCAUGAUCUAUAACAGUCGGUUUUGGUAAAACAAAACAAAAUAAUAAAAUAUGUUUUCAUUUUCACAGUCGACGUCGACUCUGACUUCCACUAGCAACUCACAGGAUUCACAGCUGAAAUUCCCAAAGAGAAAGAGAUUCAGAAGACAUCUGUCUCCUGCCAAAGAAUGAUCCCUGGCAGAACAUUUAAUAGGGAGUGAGUUGGAAAUGGAAGACCACAAAAACCACUCCGGGAGCCACACUGUUCUUAAGUAUUAUUGAUAAAUUCCCAUUUCACACAUUAGCGCUGAAGUGUAUUGAUUCACUGGAGCCAACUAAUGCGAUUAAACAGCUGGAGUCUUCAGCAGAGAAGUUAAUCCAAAGGAGUUAAUAUCAGAUAACGGACCACAGUUUGUCACAUCUGAGUUUGAAUUAUUUCUGAGAGAGAAGAAUAUUGUGCAUAGAAAAUCUUCAGUGUAUUACCCACAAGCAAAUGGAGAAAUCGAGCGAUUCAACAGAAGUCUGAAAGAAGCACUACAGACAGCAAAUCUUACUGGGAAAUCUUGGAAAGAAUUUACUACAGAGUUCCUA